UACGUAGGGGGCAAGCGUUAUCCGGAUUUACUGGGUGUAAAGGGAGCGUAGACGGCUUUGCAAGCCAGAUGUGAAAGCCCGGGGCUCAACCCCGGGACUGCAUUUGGAACUGUGUGGCUAGAGUGUCGGAGAGGCAGGCGGAAUUCCUAGUGUAGCGGUGAAAUGCGUAGAUAUUAGGAGGAACACUAGUGGCGAAGGCGGCCUGCUGGACGAUGACUGACGUUGAGGCUCGAAAGCGUGGGGAGCAAACAGG
rnacentral:rRNA from 1 species